UUCCAGAAUCCCUUCAACGUCUUCUCAUCUGGUUCAGGAUCAUCUGAAAGCGGAUCUGGAUCAUCCGGUGGUGGAUCGGGAUCAUCUGGUGGCGGAAUCUUCGGCCUUCCAGCACAGAUGAUGAACAGCAUCACCGGAGGAUCCGGGUCAUCGUCACUUC